rnacentral:rRNA from 1 species
CUACGGGAGGCACCAGCAGGGAAUAUUGCACAAUGGACGGAAGUCUGAUGCAGCGACGCCGCGUGGAUGAUGAAGGCCUUCGGGUUGUAAAAUCCUUUUCAGGGAGAAGAGGAAGGACGGUAUCCCUGGAAUAAGCGUCGGCUAACUACGUGCCAGCAGCCGCGGUAAUACGUAGGACGCAAGCGUUAUCCGGAUUUACUGGGCGCAAAGCGUCUGUAGGCGGUUUAGUAAGUUUGAUGUGAAAGCUCCAGGCUCAACUUGGAGAGUGCAUUGAAUACUGCUAGACUUGAGGGGAUCAGAGGAAAGCGGAAUUUCCGGUGUAGCGGUAAAAUGCGCAGAUAUCGGAAAGAACACCAGUGGCGAAGGCGGCUUUCUGGGAUCAACCUGACGCUGAGAGACGAAAGCUAGGGUAGCGAACAGGAUUAGAUACCCGCGUAGUC